rnacentral:lncRNA from 1 species
CCAGCUGCUGCCUAAUGGAGUCCAGGCGCUCGCGUCACAGGAAAUGCCUAUACUGCCCUCCUCACUCACUUCCGGUGGCAGGUCAAAAGAAUACAGCUCAAGGUGAUAGUAUGAAGCAGAUCUAUUUGGCAUCUGUAAGGCAUUGGAAGUUGCAUCUCUUGUGGAAGGAUCUAAUACCAUGAUCAGAAGAACUUUGGAUACGUCUUUUCACUGUGACGUUGCGGUAUACGCUUGACAAGUUUUGAAAAGAGAUUUUUCUACCGACUCUACCGACUAACAUUUCGUCUGUGAAGCCAGGAGUCUCCGUAAAGGUUAAAAAUAAUUCAGCUGUAUUGUGUUGAACUUGAUUGAAGUGUCGUGAACAGUGUCUGGAGGGCAGAAGAACCAGUUCUGUCUUGUUGCGAUGGGUUUAGUCUGUUUACUUUCCUGGUGCCCCGUCGCUGAAGCUGGGGCUGAGAGGCCUGCUGAGGAAUGUUUCUUCCGGAGUUCCGACAGGCUCAGCUAUUUGUCCCAGCCUCCGAAGCUGCUUGGCUACAGCCAUCUGGUCCCUCCAAGUCUCUCCUGCUGAGUGGUGUCUCCAAAUAUCUUCCCAGAGAGAGGACAGAAUCUCCAACAAAAUCUAUAAGGCCCACACAAAGUGCUAUAAGAAUUCAGAGGACAGAGAGAACAUUUCUGGCAGUGGACAGAGUCCUGAGUGAGCACAGAACGCAUUAUGGAAUCUGGACAUGAGGUGAGUCUCAAAGGACUGGGAAUAUUUGUUAGGGAGCAAUUGAUGGAUGUGUGUUGGGGUGGGUGUCCUCACCGGGGGACAUGCCAGAUGAGGGGGUGGCAGGAGUCCCAGCUCAAGGGUUGAAAUGCCAGCCGGAGAGCAGACCUAUUUGGCCAAACCGUGAGAGAGUGAGAGGUAAGAUCAGAAAUGCAUAUGGGAUCAGUGGGUGGGAGCCAAGUAUCAACGGUCCUGUUCAUUAUUGGGAAUUUCUGAUGAUUUUGGAUGUUAUCAAAGAGAUGCUCUAGGGAGGUUAACAGAGAGAUGGUAUGCAAUGGUGGAGGGUG